AGCGAACGCUGGCGGCAGGCCUAACACAUGCAAGUCGAACGGCUCUUCGGAGCAGUGGCGGACGGGUGAGUAACGCGUGGGAACGUGCCCUUUGGUUUGGAACAACACAGGGAAACUUGUGCUAAUACCGGAGGUGCCCUUCGGGGGAAAGAUUUAUCGCCAUUGGAGCGGCCCGCGUUGGAUUAGCUAGUUGGUGAGGUAAUGGCUCACCAAGGCGCCGAUCUUUAGCUGGUCUGAGAGGAUGAUCAGCCACACUGGGACUGAGACACGGCCCAGACUCCUACGGGAGGCAGCAGUGGGGAAUAUUGGACAAUGGGCGCAAGCCUGAUCCAGCCAUGCCGCGUGAGUGAUGAAGGCCUUAGGGUUGUAAAGCUCUUUCAGUAGGGAAGAUAAUGACGGUACCUACAGAAGAAGCCCCGGCUAACUUCGUGCCAGCAGCCGCAGUAAAAC
rnacentral:rRNA from 1 species